GCUGCCAAUUAUCUGGGGACCACAAGAGUUUCCUUUAUGACAUCACCACUCUGCAGGAAGGGGCUGAGGUGGGGUAAGAGGGGAGAAACAAAACAGAAGGUGGCACCAGAGAAGGAACCAGCUCCCCAGGGCCUGGAAUCUGCAGUGUUGCCACCACUAGGGGAAGAGAGAAGACACAGAGACACAGACCUGCUCCGGAGGAAUCCAGACCCCACCUGCCCAGAGAGGCUCCACCUGAUUUCCCUGGCUCUGGGUACCCCCUUAAAAGCCCUUUAUGCCAUCUUUCCUUUCAGUCGAGUGAUGCAGGAUUUGGGACCAGACAGCCUUUGCUCAAAUCCUUCCACUGUUAACUACCGGCUUGGUGGCGUUGGAGAAGUUAUUUCCCUGUUCUGGAUGUGCUUCCUCUUCUAUAAACUAGAGACGCUACAAAUUCCCACCACAGAGGGGUAAAUGCACCAUCCUGUAUGUUACGUGUUUGGCACAGGACCUGGGAUGCAGGAGGCACUCUGACCAGUGGCAUCCAGGAAAUAACGAAUAUGGACUAAAGGGAGGGCCAAGGAAAAGUUUACAGGAUGUGGCUGUGCAGUUGGAAGAUGCAGAUGCGCCUCGCUUGGUGCUGCCAGGUUAGAUUUGCAGAAUGCAGUGAAUGCUCUUGCUGACAAAGGAUGGGGAAAAGUGAACUGGGGAAUCACGACCUAGGAGAAGCCACUAGCUCAAAUACUGAUCUCUAUUUAAGUCACCAAAAUAUGAUGGGCACCCAGUGGGUGCCCAGCACUUUCCCAUAAGUGAUCCCAAACCAGGAGCUAGGCCAGGCCUCCAAAGGCGGCUGGGUAGUUCACUGGAAUGAGGGCUGCAGUGACUCCGGAGGGAGCAGGACUCCAGAGGAGCACGACUCAAGAGAAGGGGAGCCAGGCAAGACUGAAGGGAUGUGUAGGUGAGGUGGCUUUUUUCUGGCUGAGAGAAUAGAAGGUCCCCAGCCCACACCAAGGGCUCCAUAAUGGAAGGGAGGCCUAGGGUGGGUCCUCCCCUCUCCCCAUCUUCAUCCCACUCAGCCUCUACCUGGCCUUUAACACACUGGGUGGGAGAAGUGUUGCUGAGCACAGCAGUGACCUGAGGCCCUGGGCACCCAUCCCAGCUUAGCUCCCCAGGGGGCUCCAGUUGCUGAGGAAGAACCUAGAACUUAUAUAGGAUGAGAGAGCUGGAAGGAAACUUAGGAUCAAUUGUUCCGGCCUCUAAUUGAAUGGUGGGGAAACCCAGAGACAGAGAAAGGAAAUUACUACGCCUUCCAAGCCAGUGAGAGAGCCAGAACUAGAAUCCAGGGCCCUUUCCAUGAUACUGCACCUCCCAUCUCAGCCCUGUCUCUUAUGAAAUGCCGUACUGAAGCUUUAUGUAUUGGGGAAAUUUAACUGAGGCUCAAAGGGACACAAAUUCCCUAAAGCCACAUGGUGAGUCAGACAGCGAAAUGCAAGGUGUUUGGUCCUUUCCCAGCAUCCAACAAACGUUUCUUGGGCACCUACUACAGUCAGGCUGGGAGCACUUUCAGACAUUCUCUCACUUAAAUCUCACAUGUGGGAGCAAGGUGGUGGAAGAGCGAAGGGCCAGAGGCCAGGGUCCAAAUCCUGGCUCUCUUAGCUGAGUCUCCUUGAACAAAUCCCUUGAUGUCCCUCAAAUGAUGCCUCCAUUUCUUCACUUUAUAAGAAGGGGAUUCACAAUAGUACCUACCUUGUAGAGUAUUGUGAUAAUUAAAGGAGACUAUCCAUAUGAAAUACUUAGAACAGAGCCUAGUAAUAUAAAUAUACCAUUUAAAAAUAAGUAUACUGGCUGGGAGAGGUGGGUCACACCUGUAAUUCCAGCACUUUGGGAGGCCGAGGCGGGUGGAUCACCUGAUGUUGGGAGUUCGAGACCAGCCUGACCAACAUGGAGAAACCCCAUCUCUACUAAAAAUACAAAAUUAGCUGGGCGUGGUGGCGCAUGCCUGUAAUCCCAGCUACUUGGGAGGCUGAGGCAGGAGAAUCGCUUGAACCCGAGAUUGCGCUAUUGCACUCCAGUCUGGGCAACAAGAGUGAAACUCCAUCUCAAAAAAAAAAAAAAAAAAGUAUACCAUUUGACAAUCCUAGGCAUAUACCCAAGAGAAAUGAAAACACAUAUCCUUAUGAAAACCCUUCCACAAAUGUUGAUAGCAGCAUUAUUCAGAGUAGCUGAAAAGUAGAAUCAACCAAACGUCCAUCAACUGAUGAAUGGAGAAAUAAAACGCAGUAUAUCCACACAAUGGAAUGUUAUUUGGCAAUAAAAAGAAAGAAAGUACCGAUACAUGCUUCAGUGUUGCUAAACCUUGAAAGCAUUAUGUGAGUGAAGGAAGCCAGUCACCAAAGACCAUGUAUUAUAUAAUUCCAUCUAAAUAAAAUAUCCAGAAGGUGCAAUUUCAUAGAAACAAAAAGUAGAUGAUUAGUUGGCUAAGGCUGGGAGGAACAGAAGAAUCGAGGGUGACUGUUAAUAUGUAUGGAGUUCCUUUUUAGGGGUGAAAAAAUGUUCUGAAAUUAGAUCGUGGUAUGGUUGUGCAAUUCUGUGAAUAUAUUAAAAACUAUUGAAUCAUGCGCUUAAAUGGGUGAACUGUAUCGUAU
ensembl:lncRNA